rnacentral:rRNA from 1 species
UCCUGACACAGGGAGGUAGUGACAAGAAAUAACAAUACAGGGCUAUUUUAGUCUUGUAAUUGGAAUGAGUACAAUUUACAUCUCUUCACGAGGAUCAAUUGGAGGGCAAGCCUGGUGCCAGCAGCCGCGGUAAUUCCAGCUCCAAUAGCGUAUAUUAAAGUUGUUGCAGUUAAAACGCUCGUAGUCGGAUUUCGGGGCGAACCCACCGGUCUGCCGUUGGGUAUGCACUGGUGGGCGCGUCCUUCCUUCCGGAGACCGUUCCUACUCUUAGCUGAGCGGGGACGGGAGACGGAUCGUUUACUUUGAAAAAAUCAGAGUGUUUCAAGCAGGCAUUUGCUCUUGCAUGGAUUAGCAUGGGAUAAUGAAAUAGGACUUUGGUGCUAUUUUGUUGGUUUCGAACACCGAAGUAAUGAUUAACAGGGACA